rnacentral:Y_RNA from 1 species
GGCUGGCCCAAUGGUAGUGGGUUAUCAGAACUUAUUAAUAUUAGCGUCACUAAAGUUGGUGUACAAACCCCCACUGCUAAAUUUGACUGACUUUUA